UACGGGGGGGGCAAGCGUUGUUCGGAAUUACUGGGCGUAAAGGGCUCGUAGGCGGCCAACUAAGUCGGAUGUGAAAUCCCCAGGCUUAACCUGGGAACUGCAUCCGAUACUGGAUGGCUUGAAUCCGGGAGAGGGAUGCAGAAUUCCAGGUGUAGCGGUGAAAUGCGUAGAUAUCUGGAGGAAUACCGGUGGCGAAGGCGGCAUCCUGGGCCGCCCCUGACGCUGAGGCGCGAAAGCGUGGGGAGCGAACGGG
rnacentral:rRNA from 1 species